CCAACCUAUACUUUUUGUUCUGUUUCUUUCAUUCUGUCUUUCUUACUCAGGGGUGCUGCAAGAACUGAACAUUUCAUUGGAUCUGGGAGCAGAAUGGCUUGCACCUUGUUUCUUGAAAGAAACCAAUGAUGAUGAUGAUGGCAAGACCCUGGGGAUGAAAUGCUUUCAUGGUGUGUCUAGUGAAUGGAAUAAGAGGGAAUUUGUUCUCCGCAGGGGAAAACACCUCAGCUGAAAAAGACAAGACACUAACGGAAGUAUAAAAUCUUCAAAGCUUCUCUUCACAAUAUGACAGAACAUGAUCGGUUUGUGAUGGUCAAGGUGUUCCGUAAAGAUCGAUUUUCCAUUGCCGUUGUCAUGUGGGCAAUCAGCAAAGCAAGAACGAAUGAAUGAGUAAGAUGCCUUCGAGUCAAUUUACAGUAUCCUGAGCAAUCCCAGUAAUAACCGUAGAGGUCAUAAAAUAAGAGAAGCAGGAAAGAUAAUCUACACAUCUUUAGCUGAAAGGCAACUAUUUUCUUAUUCAUUUUGUUAAAUGAUGUACUUUGGUAUUUGUUUCUCGUAAUUAAACAGCAAAUGCUGUAUCUUA